rnacentral:rRNA from 1 species
GUGGGGAAUAUUGCACAAUGGGCGCAAGCCUGAUGCAGCAACGCCGCGUGAGGGAUGACGGCCUUCGGGUUGUAAACCUCUUUUAGUAGGGAAGAAGCGUAAGUGACGGUACCUGCAGAAAAAGCACCGGCUAACUACGUGCCAGCAGCCGCGGUAAUACGUAGGGUGCAAGCGUUGUCCGGAAUUAUUGGGCGUAAAGAGCUCGUAGGCGGCUUGUCGCGUCUGCUGUGACAACCCGAGGCUCAACCUCGGGCUUGCAGUGGGUGCGGGCAGGCUAGAGUGCGGUAGGGGAGAUUGGAAUUCCUGGUGUAGCGGUGGAAUGCGCAGAUAUCAGGAGGAACACCGAUGGCGAAGGCAGAUCUCUGGGCCGUAACUGACGCUGAGGAGCGAAAGCAUGGGGAGCGAACAGGAUUAGAAACCCCGGUAGUCC